rnacentral:lncRNA from 1 species
UCGAGCCGUUUUUUUCUUGACUCGAAAUGGGAACAGGUUUGAAAAAGGAUCUUAGAGUGUCUAGGGUUGGGCUAGGAGGGUCUCUUAACGCCUUCUUUUUUCUUCUUAUAGGAGUUAUUUCACAAAGACUUGCCAGGGUAUGGGCUAGGAGGGUCUCUUAACGCCUUCUUUUUUCUUCUCAUCGGAGUUAUUUCACAAAGACUUGCCGGGGUAAGGAAGAAGGGAGGAACAAGCACACUUGGAGAGCGCAGUACAACGGAGAUGUGUAUGCUGCGUUCGGG